rnacentral:rRNA from 1 species
UACAGAGGUCUCAAGCGUUGUUCGGAUUCAUUGGGCGUAAAGGGCGCGUAGGCGGUCUGCUAAGCGUGCGGUGAAAGCCUGGGGCUCAACCCCAGGUCUGCCGUGCGAACUGGUGGACUAGAGCACUGUAGAGGCAGGUGGAAUUUCGGGUGUAGCGGUGGAAUGCGUAGAGAUCCGAAAGAACACCGGUGGCGAAGGCGGCCUGCUGGGCAGUUGCUGACGCUGAGGCGCGACAGCGUGGGGAGCAAACAGG